GAAUUGUGGCUCAGCGGUAGAGCGCUUGCCUAGCACCAGCAGGACCUGGGUUCGAUCCUCAGCAACA
rnacentral:tRNA from 1 species